CACAGUUCCAGAGGCUGGAGUCUGACAUGAGGGUGCUGACAGGGUCAGGUUCUGGUGAGAGUUGUCUUCUGGGUCGCAGAUGGCCGUUUUCUUGCUAUGUGCUCACAUGGCAGAGAGGGCAAGACAACUCCCUGGGGUCUCUUUCAUAAGGGCGCUAAUUCCAGAGUUCCACUGUCAUGAUCUGAUCAUCUCCCCAGAGCCCCACCUCCUAAUGCCAUCACAUUUGUGUGUGUGUGUGUGUGUGUUAGUUGCUCAGUCAUGUCCCACUCUUUGUGACCUCAUGGACUGUAGCCUGCCAAGCUCCUCUGUCCAUGAAAUUUUCCAGGCAAGAAUACUGGAGUGGGUUGCCAUUCCCUUCUCCAGGGGAUCUUCCUGACCCAGGGAUCGAACCCAGUUCUUCUGCAUUGGAGGCAGAUUAUUUACUAUCUGAACCACCACGGAAGCCCUGGGCUUAUAAAUUUCAACAUAUAGAAUUGAAGAGGAGGGACAGAAACAUUCAAUUCAUAACACUGGUUGCAAGUCUGUUCAACAGGUUCACUCAGAAAAGCUGAUAGCAUUUUCACUGAUGUUCUGACCUUGAGGUUGGUUGUAGAAGUCUAGAUCAGAAGGAAAUGCCGGAGACUGAAGACAUUAGAGUUUGUCUUUCAAGUUCUGAAAGGUCUUGGAUUUAGCUGAGCCCCCUUUGUCUUGUUCUGAAGUGUUUAUAGCUGGGCUUUCCUGAACGCAAACCAUGAAGACAAACCAUGGGGCCUCCUGUGGAUCUGGAGAGGCCUGAUUUACAGCUCCCACAAAGCAGGUGGGCAUCUGAGCCUGCUCUCCACCAUGAGAACUAAGCAUUUGUUCCCAAGGUCUGGCUCUGCUCCCUGGCAAUUCUUAAGCCCUGGACAUCAAGAAGAUCCUCGAUUCCCUGUUGUUAUUGAGAAGACAAGCCAAAGGGAGGAGUGGGAGAGGCCGAAUCAGUCCUCCCAGAUCUAUUAAAGCAAUCCUUAGUGAAAUAGGAACCUGGGGGAGGGGAUGGAAGGGAACUCCCUACUGACUUCUCACUGUACUUACUCCCUAAAGAGCUCCCAUGGAACAUUUAUUUCCUCAAACUCACACUUGAUGAUAACAACCACCAAACUCCCACCUAGGUACGUGAGAGUGUUUCUUCCUGAAUGUGGAAGGUGAUGAGUUUUGGGGCUCGAGAAACUGUCCACAGGUCAAAUUCCUUUCCUUUGGUUCUUACUGAGGCUCUGGAGGUAGGAAGAUGGGGCUCAGAGUAGGUAGGUUUCUUGGAACAAAGAGUGAGUUUGGACCUUCACUGAGAAGUUCCCACAGUAGUGCUCCCUCUUUGGAGGUCCCUGUCCAGAGGACAGUGGGGUCAUUCCCACAGUUGCCAGAUGUCUUCCCCACUCUCCAGGAACCCACCCAGCUCCCUGAGCACCCCUAGGUGUGCCAUCGUUUUCCUCCUGUGGGGCACACCUGUUUUCUUUGCCCAGGAGUAAGAGUCCUACUGACCUCAGGAGGCCUCCUUACACAUCCACAGUCACUUCCGUUUUCCCAGUGCUGAGAGUUUCUCCCAUGUUUCAUGAACACUCAGAUGAAGCCCUACUAUGUGCCCCUCACAACGUCUCCUCACUCCACCGCGCAGCUGAGGAAAUUGAGGCUAGAAAGAGAAAAUGGCUUGUUUGAAGUCCCAGACCUACUCUUUCCCCUAUUUCUUGUUUGGAAGGGCUAUUGUACAGAGGAAAGCUACAAACCCACGUUCUUCUCCAGCUGUUUUCCCAUUAAACCCUUUCAGAACAGUGCAGUAGCUUCCUCUAAUUCACUCAUAGAUAGCAGCCCCAGAGCACGUGGCCUCCCACAUCCCACAAUUAUUCUUCUUAGGGGACCCUGCAUUCCCUCAGACUCUCUUCCAUGAAGAACCCCUUUAGCAAGCACUGUGGAAAUGGACAUUUGAAAGUGAAAGUUAGUUGCUCUGGCAUGUCCGUCUCUUUGAGACCUCCUGGACUGUAGCCUGCCAGGCUACUCUGUCCCUGGGAUUCUUCAGGCAAGAAUACUGGAGUGGGUUGCCAUGCUCUCCUCCAGGGGAUCUUCCCAACCCAUGGAUAGAACCCAAGUCUCCCACGUUGCAGGCAGAUUCUUUACCAUUUGAGCCACCAGGGAAUCCCCUUAGGGAAUGGGCAUUUGGAGCUCUAAAAACAGGUGUUGAGACGUUUCGACUGCAAAGGCAGUGUUUGGAAAUGAUCUUGCUAGAUUAUCUUAACUCUGGGUUUUCAUUAAAGUCUUUAGUUUAAUUUUGCUCAUGUAAUCUUGGUAAGGGUUUUAAGUGGCUUCUGAGUAAUUUUCUUAAGAUCAGGCAAACACACACACACACACACACACACGCAGACACCCCUAAGGUCCUUGCACAUCUCUUACUCAUUCCACAUCCUAGAUUCAGGUUUAUUUUCUCAGUGCCUGACCUUGUAAUUAGAAGUACAUUUUCUUUGAAGAGACAGUUACAUUUAUAGAUGGCAGUGAAUGGGAAGCUCAGAGAAUGUUCCCGGUGUUAAUCAGAGGCCAUUUGACUUAGCACUGAGAAAUCUUGCUAAAGCUUCAAACUAAUAAAGUGAAAAUACUUAUGAAAUUGCCAAGAACACUUCUCUGAAGGUAUAAUUAAUUGUUCAAAAACUGGCAUGUCACUGUAAGAACAGAUCUCUGGCUUUACUUCCGCAUCCACAUAGCAUCUUAGGUUUCUGUGUUACAACUCGAAAAGUAUGCAUACUCACUUCACUGAACUUCCUCAUUAUACAAAUAGAGUAGUCAAUAAUUCAAGAAGGAAAAUCACCAAGGUUGCAGAGGGGUCUAGGUAUAAAGUUGGACCGGGACCCACCCCAUGGACUCAGUCCAGAUUGUCCCAUUCCCCUACAGGAUAAGUUAUUCCUAUGCAACCUGGUGUUAGAGGUAGUUUUCCAAAAGCUGUUUGCUAAACGCAAUUAAUCUAAAUAGGGAAGGCCAGGCCAUGGGACAAGUAGGUAUAAACAAAGUUGGGCAAAUCCAGAGGCAAGAAUACUUCAGCCUACUACUUAGGAGCAUUGGCUAAAGGCACAGGUGAUGUUCAAGAGCAGGUCUGACCUUGAAGGCAGAGCACAUGCUUAUGUAUUUUGGCUAAUAUGGUACACAAACUAGUGCCUAGAUGUUGUUGCCUAGUCUCUAAGUUGUGUCUGAUUCUUUUGUGACCCUGUGGACUGUAGGCCACCAGGCUCUUCUGUCCAUAGGAUUCCCAGGCAAGAAUACUGAAGUGGGUUGCCAUUUCCUUCUCCAGGGGAUCUUCCCAACCCAGGGAUCAAACUGGCAUCUCCUGCAUUGUAGGGAGGUUUUUUUACCAUCUGAGCUACCUGGGAAGCCCAGUACUUACAUAAAGGAACUAACAUUCAAGGAACCCCUAUUCAGUCAGUUAGUCAGUGAAGUUGCUCAGUUGUGUCCGACUCUUUGUGACCCCAUGAAUCGCAGCACACCAGGCCUCCCUGUCCAUCACCAGCUCCCAGAGUUCACUCAAACUCAUGUCCAUCGAGUUGAUGAUGCCAUCCAGCCUUCUCAUCCUCUGUCAUCCCCUUCUCCUCCUGCCCCCAAUCCCUCCCAGCAUCAGAGUCUUUUCCAAUGAGUCAACUCUUCGCAUGAGGUGGCCAAAGUAUUAGAGUUUCAGCUUUAGCAUCAUUCCUUCCAAAGAAAUCCCAGGACUAAUCUCCUUUAGAAUGGACUGGUUGGAUCUCCUUGCAGUCCAAGGGACUCUCAAGAGUCUUCUCCAACACCACAGUUCAAAAACAUCAAUUCUUUGGCACUCAGCUUUCUUCACAGUCCAACUUUCACAUCCAUACAUGACCACUGGAAAAACCAUAGCCUUGACUAGACAGACCUUUGUUGGCAAAGUAAUAUCUCUGCUUUUUAAUAUGCUAUCUAGGUUGGUCAUAACUUUCCUUCCAAGGAGUGCAGGAAUCUUUUAAUUUCAUGGCUGCAAUCACCAUCUGCAGUGAUUUUGGAGUCCAAAAAACUCCUAUUAUGCAACUGCUAUCCCCAUUUUGUAGAUGAGAAACUGAAGCUCAGGAAAAAUUGUGCCGUGCAGAAAUCACUUAGCCAGGAAACAGUGGGGCUAUAUAGCUCAAACCCGGGUCUUGACUGCUCCAAAGCUUAAGUUCCUUCCAUCUUACUCCAGUGUGGUUGAACUAGGGCAGAGGAUAGAAAUGAUGGAGGUAGAUUUCAGUUAGAUUAACUCAAGAAAGUAACAACCCAGAUAUCUAAAAAUCAAGCUGGUUGCAUUGGAUAGUGCCAAGCUCCCUCCCUAGUUUGUGAAAAGGUGUGAGGCAGUCUGUUACGCCUGUGAUACAAGUG
ensembl:lncRNA